UACGUAGGAGGCAAGCGUUGUCCGGAAUCACUGGGCGUAAAGCGCGUGUAGGCGGAUGCCUAAGUCUGUCGUGAAAGCGCCUGGCUUAACCGGGCGAGGUCGAUGGAAACUAGGCGUCUGGAGGCCGGUAGAGGGGGGUGGAAUUCCGGGUGUAGUGGUGAAAUGCGUAGAGAUCCGGAGGAACACCAGUGGCGAAGGCGGCCCCCUGGGCCGCGCCUGACGCUGAGACGCGAAAGCGCGGGGAGCGAACGGG
rnacentral:rRNA from 1 species